rnacentral:lncRNA from 1 species
GUAGCCGAUCUUGCGGUGGUAACCUCCGGGUCGCGCCUGUGUGGCACCCAGCACCUGUGGGUCAGUGUAAUAAUAAGGUCAUGCCCUGAAGUGAUUGGCUGAGCCUCAAUGCAGGGAUGUCACCGUUCCGUCUGUUGUGUAGUCCUCCCCAAGCAGAUGAUAAAUGACCUUAAUACUGACAAUGGCUUCAAUGCUCAUCUCUCCCAUAAGCCAGAAAUUUGGACACCAAUGUAACCUCAGCUAUAACAGACCUUGCCCCACCUAUGAAUCUACCUUUGGAAACCACCAGUCCAUUGAAGAAUGCUCCUGAUUCAAGACUAUGGUGUGCCGUUGAUGUCUCGAAGCUCUCGGUCAUCAUGGCGAAGGUCACUGUGGUUGUCGGUUUCUGAAGUGUUGGAUAUAAGACGUUUGAUAGAAGUGCGGGUAAACCUGGACGCAUGAUCUUCUUGACGACAAAAGGGUGCAUCUCUAGAAAUGGGCUUAUCAAUGUCAUCUUCUCGAAUAAACCAGUUGCUGAAGUAAUGCAGCUGUUGGAUUAAACAAAUGGCUCAAAAUACUUACUGUUGUUGACAUUGCACAGAUGUUAUGUUUGGUCUGCAAGUGUCCCAGAAGUGUGGUCUAGCUUCUCCCACAACUGUCUUUACCACAUCGUUGAUGAAAAACAUGAACAAGCCACCAACAAAGAGGUCCGUAGUGUACCCCCAACUGCGACGAAGCCCCAAACGGAAUGGUGACGACCCCAAGACUAGCUGGGAUGAGGGCAUGAUCCACUCUAUAGCCAAUAUCUGGAGUAGGGUAAAUACACAUUAACCAACCUAAUAUAGUGAUAUUCUAAAUACUAUAACUGAAUAUUUACAGUACACAAACACAUGACUAGAACAAAUAUUUCUAAAGUACUGUACAGUAUAGUACAGUAUUAUUAAUCAAAUGGUUGUACAGUACAGACAAUAGCUGAUGGGACAAUAACAUUACUGUCUCAUCUAUAUAUAUAUAUUAGAUAAAAAAAAGAGACAAGACCCCCAUUGUGCACCCCAUUUUAUUGUUUUUAUAUUGUUUGCCUUUUAACUUAUCAUACUCAGUCAUUUACAGUAUGUACUUGCAUACUUACAAUUUACCCUUUCUGAAUUGCCCAGGUUUUUACCUCUCCUCACUUCCUCAUGUAUUAUUACAUAACUUGUUACCUAGUAGUUUUAUGCUCAAUGCCCCAGUACAGUUAACUUGUGAUAAGAGUCCUCUUAUCUUAAUCAAUUAAUCCUUACCCCAAAAGACCCUCGGAAAUUGUUCGUAUUACAAAGCACAUACAGUAUUUAAGUAUUUCUCUUUCUGCACAUGCGCACACACACACACACACACACACACACACACACACACACACACACACACACACACACACACACACACACACACACACACACACACACACAAAUUGUACCCUGUACAAAUUUUGGCAUUAUAACUUGUUGAGACAUGUAAACAUUUCCUAGAUUUUAUUUUGAACUUAAUUAUUUUAUAUUAUAAUACAAAUAUUUACUAGCCUUUUAUAUUUAUUUCAUACAACAGAAUAGCCACAAGACCCAUAGCAUGUGAAGCAUUUUGAGUUAAAUAAAAAUCUACACUAAGACUAUAAACAUAAUACUCUGGCAUGUGUAUAUACACUGUAAAAUAUAUUGUCUACAUGUCAGUGUAUUGCUUGUACCUUACAUGAAGCAUUAUUGAUGUCAAGUACUGUAUUAUUACAAAUAUAAGAACUAAGAGACUUCUUAAAAUAUAGUAAAGAUCAAAGCUUAUACAUGGAACAUGUCUGAAUAUGUAUGUACCUUGAACUGUAAAGCAUAAAGCAAUGAAAUACUCAUUGGAAACUGGUUAAGACUGAAAAAUAUUGCACAGUGCCCAAAUUAUGAUCAGAGCCUUUAAUAAACAACCUUCACAUAGGUAAUCAUCACCAGCCUACAUAUGUAUUGAACACUGAACUGAAAAACUCAGCAGUGUUCAGGGUACAGAUUUUGUAUUUGUUUCAAGAUUUGUAAAUAGCUCUACUGCAUCCAACAAAUUUAAUUUAAAUAUAUUUAAUGGC